UACGGAGGGGGCAAGCGUUGUUCGGAAUUACUGGGCGUAAAGCGCACGUAGGCGGUUUUGUAAGUUAGAGGUGAAAGCCCAGGGCUUAACCCUGGAAUUGCCUUUAAGACUGCAUCGCUAGAAUCGUGGAGAGGUGAGUGGAAUUCCGAGUGUAGAGGUGAAAUUCGUAGAUAUUCGGAAGAACACCAGUGGCGAAGGCGACUCACUGGACACGUAUUGACGCUGAGGUGCGAAAGCGUGGGGAGCAAACAGG
rnacentral:rRNA from 1 species